CGUUCUUUUCCUUAUUUGUAAGAUACUCAACAGUUAACAUUAACAAUGAAACGUUUAAUUAUAAUUUCUAUAAUUUCUAUAAUUUUUGUGACGGUCUGUAUCGACACAUGCAGAUCAUACACGAUAAUUGGUAAAUAUGCAUAAUUUAAGUUGUAUUUAAAUGUAAACUUUUGAAGUUUUGUAAUGUUUUUAUUAACAUUUUAUAUACAUGAUAAGAUUUUCAAAAUAUUUUGACUAGUAUGGUUAUAUUUAGUUUAGACAAAAUCUCGAAAAUUUACAAAUAUUUUAUAAUUUAUAUAAUAAUUUUUCAGGAACUACUCGAAUACUUGGAUAUUUUAAAACCAGAAUAAUAAUGAAUUCGAAUAUAUUCGGAUAAUCGUAUUGUUGGGAUUUAAAGGCGUUUUAUACGUAGUAGAUAAAUACGUGUAUACCUACUAUUCAUAUAUUUGUAAUAACGCUUUCUGCAUUAGUGUCCCAAAUGAAAGAGAUUAUUUGCCCAGCCGUGUGAACAUGUAACCAAUUUUAUAAUUUUCUGUGGCAUUUAAAAAUGAUUAUAAUUUUUUCCUGUAGGAGAGGGUGUAACAGAGAUGUUGGCACCCGAUAGUAAGUAAUGUUUAAAAAUAUCAGAAUACAUGUAAAUCAAAUAUUAUGAAAAUGUAUUCAAAUAUUUUACAUUAAUAAUAUUUUUAGAAUAACUAAUUAAAAAAAAUUCAAUGUUAAAUCUAUGAUUUUAGAUAUUAUACGAUGAUUAUUAAAUAAUAAUAAUUAAAUUUCAAUAAGUAUCAAUUAUAUAAACUAUUAAAUUAAUUUAUGUAAAAUUCUUUAAUUUAUUUUCAAAACACUAAUACUAAACACAAAUUAAUCAGCAGCACUCCUGAAACGUGUAUAAUUUAUUAUUUAUUAUAAUUAAUAAAUAAUUAAUAAAUUAAAAAACUAUUAAUUUUAUAUUAAAAAUAAUUAAAUUAUUUUAAAUAAAUUAAGUGCGUUUUUUUUUUUAAAUUAACUUGUAGGUGCCUUUACAAAGUAACAAAAGAAAAAAAAGAACUGAAACUUUUAAUUUUAAACUUAACUUACAAUUAUAAAUAUAUAUUCACGAAUUAAAAAAUUACUUGAUAAUAAUAAUUAUAUCUUUUUUUUUUAACUCAAGACCCUCAAUGGCAAACAGUUAUACCGUUACCAGCUGGUAAGAUACUUCUUAAAACUAUAAAAAUAUGUAUAAUAAUCUUAAUAUGAAUUUGAAUACGUAAUAUUAAGUUCUUAUCUGACUUAAAUCCGAUACAGUCGUUCGCUGUUCAUCACUCAUUGUUAUGUUCGGUUAUCUGGGUUUUACGUAAAUAAACACUAUUAAAAAACUAUUAUAAAAACCAAACUCUUGCAAUGUGAGAGUGUGCCAAGUGCUUAAAAAAUCUAACCUAUUUUGACAACGUUUUUCCAUGCAAUAAAUAUAAUAAAAAUACAAAUUUCUAUGGUAAUGGAAUUUCUGAAUCGCAACUCAAAAAAAAGAUUAUACUUCGCACGAUGGAUGAAGUCACUGUUGUUGGUGAGAAGUUGGUAAAGUAGGAUAUAGAGGAGAAAUUAAUUUGUAUCUGUAAGUAACGAUAAAUCUAUACUAAUUAAACAAGAUAUUGUGUAGAGUUUUGUUGAUAGUGAUGCUUUUUCAACAAUAUGUAUGCCAUACUAUUGUAAACAAUUUAAAUAGGCAUUCUAUAUUUACUUAAAUAAUAUUUGUUUAAUAUUGCGCUGAUUUUCCCGUUUUUUACGUUUUUUCGCGGUUUUUCACAUUUACUGGGAAAACUCUUGAGAAAAUGACUUCCUUAAAGUACGUUUUCACUCAGAUUUUUUUUUCCACAAAAAGUGCUAUUAUUUUAAAUCUGAGAAAAAUUGCUGGUAGAAAAGUUGUUCGUAAAAAACAGAAAAGGCCGUAAUAUUUUUUAACUGAUACCUACAUUUUGAACAUUUUUCCGUUUCAUCCCAUUUAUCGAGAAAUCUCCAAAACAAAUCGAAAAAUGACUCCCCUAUAGUAUCACUCUAGUCCGAUUUCCUUCAGAAAAAGUACUACAAUUAAAAAUCAGAGCAAGAUUUCUGGUAGAAAAGCGUGCACAACAAAUCGAGGGUUAUUUUUCUAUUAAAUAGUUUUAGCGAGCGAUAGUUACUAAGUACACUUAAAAUGCAUUUGUUUCGAAACUUCGGUUUACAAAUAUGAUCUCUAUGAUGUCAAUAGAAUAUUUUAACCAUUAAAUUACGGCAAACAUAUUUAAGUUUGACAAUUUAUAGUUAUUUAACAUAACAUAUAAUAUCUGCUUAAUAUUAGUUCAAUUAAUUCUGACCUUAUCAUCGUUUUAAAAUCAGCAGUAUACAUAUGUUCAGGACAAAAAAUUUCAAAAUUAGAUUUGUUAUACGUAAUUUGAUAUUAAAAUUUCUCUAUCAAAAGAAAAAAUACUACAUUAAACACAAUUUUUUUUCCGACUACAAAGUAAGACUUUUAUUGAACCUUCACUGAAAUUUGUAUGCAUUUAUUUUUAGUUUGACAAUUUAAACAUUGAGUACUACCGAAUAAAAACUACGCACAAAAAUCGCAAAUUAAAAUGUUUAUAAGCUUAUAGUUAUAGCUCAUAGCAGUCUAGUCCAUCGGGAAAACUCCCGAAAUCUCGAUGGACCACUUUGCCCUUGUACAUAUGUGAACAUAAUCGUUUUGUUUUUCCAAACUACGGGAAUUUUUGCAUGAUAUUAAAAAUAAUAUUUAUUUUAUUAUUCUAGAUGCGAAUCCUG